GCUGGCGGCAGGCCUAACACAUGCAAGUCGAGCGGUAGAGAGAAGCUUGCUUCUCUUGAGAGCGGCGGACGGGUGAGUAAUGCCUAGGAAUCUGCCUGGUAGUGGGGGAUAACGUUCGGAAACGGACGCUAAUACCGCAUACGUCCUACGGGAGAAAGCAGGGGACCUUCGGGCCUUGCGCUAUCAGAUGAGCCUAGGUCGGAUUAGCUAGUUGGUGAGGUAAUGGCUCACCAAGGCGACGAUCCGUAACUGGUCUGAGAGGAUGAUCAGUCACACCGGAACUGAGACACGGUCCAGACUCCUACGGGAGGCAGCAGUGGGGAAUAUUGGACAAUGGGCGAAAGCCUGAUCCAGCCAUGCCGCGUGUGUGAAGAAGGUCUUCGGAUUGUAAAGCACUUUAAGUUGGGAGGAAGGGUUGUAGAUUAAUACUCUGCAAUUUUGACGUUACCGACAGAAUAAGCACCGGCUAACUCUGUGCCAGCAGCCGCGGUAAUACAGAGGGUGCAAGCGUUAAUCGGAAUUACUGGGCGUAAAGCGCGCGUAGGUGGUUUGUUAAGUUGGAUGUGAAAUCCCCGGGCUCAACCUGGGAACUGCAUUCAAAACUGACUGACUAGAGUAUGGUAGAGGGUGGUGGAAUUUCCUGUGUAGCGGUGAAAUGCGUAGAUAUAGGAAGGAACACCAGUGGCGAAGGCGACCACCUGGACUAAUACUGACACUGAGGUGCGAAAGCGUG
rnacentral:rRNA from 1 species